rnacentral:lncRNA from 1 species
GAAGCUCUUCCAGAAACGCCCUCACAGACACCCCGGAAGUCACGUACCCACUCUGUAGGUGCCCCGGGGCACAGGCAAGCGGACGAGCCAGUUAUCCCUCAGAGCUCCUGCUGCCUCGCCCGCUUUCUCUCGGAAACGUGAAGUGUGGCCUCAGCUGAAAGUGAGGUGGGCCUCAUUCAAUCAGUUGAAUUCUUCAAGAGAGAAAAACUGAAGUCCCUUAGAAGGAAAGAGUUCUGCCUUCAGACUGUCUUUGAACUUAAGACUGUAGCGUCGACUCCUGCCGGAAUUUCCAGCCUGCUGGCCAGCUCUGCAGAUUCACACUUGCCAGCCUCCACAAUCGCAGCUGAGGCGGAGGAACCCUAAGGGCUCAUUGAGAUCAUGGAUUUGCCCUUCUAUGCAUUGAUGGAGCACCUGCUGCCCACAGCGUCUGUAUUUGGUGCUGGGAUGCUGAGGACACUGAGAUCUUCAAACAGAGGCUGCCACUCUAAGCAAACAGAUCCCGAGCCCUGGACUCUGAAGCUUGGGCCCAGUUCUCCUUUUCUCCGGGUUUCAGAUCCCACUGUGAAGUGAGGGGGCCCUUCUGAUUCAGGACCCGGGGAAGCCAGGGGCAUGAGCAUCGGUGCCUCUUCUCUAUUUCAAGGACCCUUCUGGGUGUAAAGUUCUCUGAGAUGCCUUACAUGGAUUCCCACCACUGCAAGAUAACCAUCGUAUGUAAAGUGUUAUGACCAGCAGAGCGUAAUUGAAGUGCAUUCCAGAGGGAAAGACAGCGGCUCAGGUAGGCCUUAGAGAAUCCGCCUUGGGACGAAUCCCAUUCUCACACUCCUGUAACAUCCUUAUCAGAAGGCUGGAAGACCAAGCUGGGGCUGUGGGACUAGGAGUAAUUAAAAUACCUUUAAUUGGAA